GUUGAAAACACUUUGUUUAUAGCUUAUCUAUUGUACAAUUUUGCUACCCCAUUUAUUUCCUUGAAGGACUGGACAUUCCAAAGCUUCAAUGCGAGGAUCUGGGCUUUCAUUAUACCAAAACAAACAGCUGCCCUUCUGGGGAAAGAUGGAUACUUUUAGUUUUGGAAACACCGUCGCACCACCUUGUUCCACACUAUCAAGCUGUUUUUGAAUAUGAAUGAGCCCACCACAACCGGACAUGACAAGUGCAAUAGAUCUUCGUUAGGAUGCAUUCUAUGAUUUAGAUUUCGCCAAACCAAUGCGCUGCCCUUUUGUGGCCAAACUGACAGAUGUAAGUGCGGAAAAGAAAUGGCACCACCUUGGACGACAUCGCUCAACUAAAAUAUUCAUUUGUUUAUAAAUCUAUCCAAUUUAACCUUACAUUUUAUGUAUUCCUUAUACUUACAAAAAAUAUAAUGCUUGUAAGGCGAUCGCCUAGUUCUGCCUGCAAGAUAAUAA